AGGUUUGGCACCUCGAUGUCGGCUCAUCGCAUCCUGGGGCUGUAGUCGGUCCCAAGGGUUGGGCUGUUCGCCCAUUAAAGCGGUACGCGAGCUGGGUUCAGAACGUCGUGAGACAGUUCGGUCCCUAUCCGUCGUGGGCGUAGGAAAUUUGAGAGGAGCUGUCCUUAGUACGAGAGGACCGGGAUGGACAUACCUCUGGUGUACCAGUUGUCGUGCCAACGGCAUAGCUGGGUAGCUAUGUGUGGACGGGAUAAGUGCUGAAAGCAUCUAAGCAUGAAGCCCCCCUCAAGAUGAGAUUUCCCAACUUCGGUUAUAAGAUCCCUCAAAGAUGAUGAGGUUAAUAGGUUCGAGGUGGAAGCAUGGUGACAUGUGGAGCUGACGAAUACUAA
rnacentral:rRNA from 1 species